UACGUAGGGUGCGAGCGUUGUCCGGAAUUAUUGGGCGUAAAGAGCUUGUAGGCGGUUUGGCGCGUCUGCCGUGAAAAUCCGGGGCUCAACCCCGGACUUGCAGUGGGUACGGGCAGACUAGAGUGUGGUAGGGGAGACUGGAAUUCCUGGUGUAGCGGUGGAAUGCGCAGAUAUCAGGAGGAACACCGAUGGCGAAGGCAGGUCUCUGGGCCACUACUGACGCUGAGAAGCGAAAGCAUGGGGAGCGAACAGG
rnacentral:rRNA from 1 species